rnacentral:rRNA from 1 species
UACGAAGGGGGCUAGCGUUGUUCGGAAUUACUGGGCGUAAAGGGCGCGUAGGCGGCUCUGAUCGUCGGAUGUGAAAGGCCUGGGCUCAACCUGGGAAUGGCAUCCGAUACGGCGGGGCUGGAGUGUGGGAGAGGUUGGUGGAAUUCCCAGUGUAGCGGUGAAAUGCGCAGAUAUCGGGAGGAACACCUAUGGCGAAGGCAGCUCGCUGGGACGUUACUGACGCUGAGACGCGAAAGCGUGGGGAGCAAACAGG